GAUUAAAGGUAAAUCAAUAUUAAAAAGAACUGUGAUUGACUUGAUAAUUUCACACUAAUUGCUGUUCUUUACAGGAAAUAUUGAUGCUGAAUCCCCAAAACAUCAUAGCCCCAACUGUGCGACAAUUUUCUGCUUUCUUAUCGACCCAGCAGUCGAGCCGCCGUCGUCGGCGGAAUCGGCAACAAAGAUCAGUGCAAGUGUUGUUAAUCAAUCAGCAAGUGUGAUUAACGUGAAAUAAAGUUUUUCCUGCAUAAAAACGGUAAUUUUUUUGAUUUUGCGAAACCACUCCUUGUCCAAUAAGAUUUGUGAGAUGUGCUAAAUAAUGUAAAUGUACAGUAAACAACAGCAAUGAAUGCUACCGGGAAUUUACAUGAAACGUGCAGUAUUAUCACUUGUAAAUAUAGCCGAUUCCUUUCUACCCAUGCAGUUGCAUGUAAAUCUACGUGGAUUUUUCUAAGUGUGUGAGCAAAAAGGUACAUUCUACCGGUUUCCCAUUCACUAUCUAAAAGGUUUUUUUCCACUGUUCUGGUUAUACACUACAUUAAAUGAAACUAAGACACAAAUUCAUUCAAGAUUUUAUUUUUGUUUUUCAUUACAUUCACAUUCAUUAAUGUUUUGGGAAUCUAUGUUUUAAUAAUGUUCCUCUCCGUUUUUUUCCUCGAAUGUUCCGUUUUGUCGGAGGAAAACACUAUUGCAUCCUCUCGGUCAUCAACGCUGUCUUUUCCGUGUCCACCAUGGCCGUUGAAUCCUCCUACAAUUAGCACAUUUCGUCCCUUCUCCGUUCGACUCAUCCGGCUAUAGCUGGGGGAUAAUAUUGGCUGUUCCGAAAUUAUGGAAAACACUUCGUAGCUCAGUAGGCCAAUCUGUAAGGGCAUCCGCAGCAAUCGCGAGCAAAGUGAAAAUGCUCACGAGUUUAAUCACUUCCAUACCGCACCGGGGGUUAGUAUGAAGGUGAGCAAAAUAGGGCCGAUGCCGUCGGGACCGAUAAAAUCACCAAAUUUGCUCACUAGAAAGGGGCGAGAGCAAACAUGCACUGAAAAAAUUCUACCGCUUUGAGCAGAAUUAAACAAACGAUGUCGCAGCGUGUAGAUGUUUGUUGAUAUUUAUUUUAAGAAAAAAAUUGUAUCAGCUUAAAAUUGUGGAUGGUUUUUCUUGUAAUAACUGCAGUUAAAUUCGCAAUUUCGUUACAUUUUUUCGGGGUUUUCCAGGAAUUGAACGAGAAAGUGUAAAUGCUGGUUCUGAUGAUAAACAAACUUGAAGCAUCGUAAUUUGUGACCAAAAAUGGUCACUCGGAGUUUCUCGGAGUAAUAAUAAUCGAGACCAGUGCGCUGUGCAGGAUUUUUGUAUCCAACCGGCCGAUAUGGGUGGCAUUCCAGUACUGUCCCUACCGAUUCGGCUUCCGGAACGAGGUCCAAUAAGUUUGCAACUAAUGGGACCCAGUUUUUCGGAGCAGCAAUUAUUUCAAUCAGCACGUUGGAUAGAAAAAGAAGUUGAAGAUUUUUUAGAAAAGUAUGAUUUUAAUAUAAAUAUAAUAAACAAAUAAAGUUGAAUUUUAGUUGAAUUGUUUGGUUUGUUAAAUUUUGUUUUUCGGGUCCAUUUGUUAGGAAAUAUAAGUGCCCGGCGUUUUGAAAGCAAAAUCGAGCUUAAUUCGAAAAUAUAUUCUUAUCUGAACUUAUUUUA